CGUCUAUCGGAAUUUUGUUGUAUUAUCGGUACAACUCUCAAUUCCGUAACGAGCAGCUAUAAGCGCUCCUUAGCAGACAAAAUUUUGUCUGUUUAAUGAUUAGAUAUUAAUAUCAUUUCGUUUAUUGAGUAAAUUUCCAAAUUUUAUUAAUAAGAACAAAAUGGCUGGAAAAGUAAAUAAAGAAGCAGAGAACUUGAAAGGUUUUUUAAAAUAUUUUAAUAGCGUAACCCUACAGGGACGAGCAAACGUAGCUAUGACAACGUAUGCUUGCUUAGCUGUACUUGGAUGUUAUCUCUAUUUCAAACCAAAGAAAGCUGCGACUAAAUAAGAAAAUGAAAGCAUACAAUCAUCUUAUAUAAUGAUUUUGUCCAUAAAUUAGACAAACUCUGCAAUGCCAAAAUUUUUAUUGUUUUUUACUAUAAUAGAAUAUUUUAAAUAUAAAUAUAACUUUUAAAAUUGAUAUCCAAAUAUUUGAACAAAUGGUAUGUACUACUAUAUUAGAAAAUUUACAUUUUAAUGAAUAUAUUUAAUACUAGUGCAAUUCUAUUUUUAUGUUUAUUGGAUGUAGACAUAUACGAGAUAUCUUGUAAUUGAUAUAAGUGAAUAGGAGUUGAUGUUACAUGAAAAACUAAAUAAAAAUGUAAAAUACUAUUUUUUCA